GGGCAGGCAUAUGUAGUUGUUGAUGAAGCAUAAGUAGUUGCCUUUGGAAAAGUCAGUCCUUGAUGACUUUGCAUGUGUAAAAGCAGUUCAUCAUAGUAUCUUAGUAUUCUUAUGUGCAAGAGCGUGACUUUAGUUAUUAACCAUCUUUGGUUCUUUUCUAAUCAUGUUGCUAUAAAAUCAAAAGAAAAAUAUCAUAUUACCAAAUCCUUUAGACAUCUGAGUUUUGGACCUUCUCUGUUUUUUUGUUUGUAAAUUAAGGUCCCAGAUGCUUGAUACAUCAUGCAUAUGAAAUUAUACCCAGAAGUUGUGUGAAUUCAGCUGCAUAUAGUGAUAAUUUAUCAUUGUAGUCUCUUGUGAUUAAGUUAAUUGGUAUUCUUUGAUAUUUUAAAUGUCCAAACCUACAUAGAAAUAGAUAUUUUCACUUCCAUUUCUUAUUCUUGUUCUUUGUAAUGCGCGAAUAGUUUGUUGGCACUGAUGAAGCAACU
rnacentral:misc_RNA from 1 species